GCCUAACACAUGCAAGCCGAGCGGCAGCACAAGGGAGUUUACUCCUGAGGUGGCGAGCGGCGGACGUGGUGAGUAAUGCCUAGGGAUCUGCCCAGUCGAGUGUGGGAUAACAGUUGGAAACGACUGCUAAUACCGCAUACGCCCUACGGUGGGAAAGAGGGGGACCUUCGGGCCUCUCGCGAUUGGAUGAACCUAGGUGGGAUUAGCUAGUUGGUGAGGUAAUGGCUCACCAAGNGCGACGAUCCCUAGCUGUUCUGAGAGGAUGAUCAGCCACACUGGGACUGAGACACGGCCCAGACUCCUACGGGAGGCAGCAGUAGGGGAAUAUUGCACAAUGGGGGAAAACCCUGAUGCAGCCAUGCCGCGU
rnacentral:rRNA from 1 species